AACCGGCGCCCAUAUGGGAUCCCGGGCGUGCAAGGCGAGGACUUUAACCACUUGCGCCACUGCGCCGGGCCCCAAACUGAUGAACAAUCUUACAAGAAAGACUCUGUAAGGAAAGAUUCGUGGACACCUCUAAGGAAGGGUCGGGAAGAGCCCCUGGACUGGCCAUGCAGUCAGCUGCUGAGAGGGGCUGCAGCCCAACUCCACUGGGACACAGAGGCCCUGACACCAGGAUCCUGCAGUCAGAAGAGCAGGUAACCAAGGCCCAGGGGUUCCCAGUGUGGGUGACAGCUGUGUUGAUCAUGGGGCUCUCAGAGAACACAGGUGCCUUUGACCUUGGCUGUGCCCUGUCUGGAUGUGAACACUGGGAGCUGAAACAUCACAAGGGUCACCACCUCGGGACAGUGCUUGCUGACCAUGAUGGUGAGACAGCCAGCUGCUCUGGCCCUCACACUCAACCUGGACCACCUUGCCCAGCACUGAGUCUGACCCACAGCAAAGUCGACUGAAUGAUAAGGAUGUUGCACCUGCCCCUUCCAGACCCCAUGAUUCAUUAGUGGAUCAUGCGACAGACGCCACUUGUGGCUGCUGCAGAGCAGGUCUCCUCCUGCUGGAGUCCCCACGGCCUGAGCUUUCUCACAAAUGUCCUCUGCCCUCUUGCUUCCCUCCUACACUGCCUCCUGCACACACAGAAGUGAAGGCCACCAGAGCUCACACACAGGAAGAGCAGGUGCAAUCAGCCAGUGACACUAAGGAACAAAAUGAACAUAGGAUGAUGGAGCUGAGGGAUGAACUUAAGCUCUAGAUUUGGUGGCCAUGGCCCCAUGCAGCCUCCAUAGCCUUGGGUCCAUGAGAUAGGGCAGCCUGGCCAUAGGUGAGUCCUAUGUUGGCAUGUGUUGGUGAGCACAUGCUGCCAAUAAAACCAGGACGCUGGGACAGCUGAGCCGGGUCAGCAAUGACCACGGGAAAGUGUGAUGGAUGGAGCACUGCCUGGGUACAGCCUCAUCCUCACCCAGAGCCUCCCAGCCUCUCCCAUCCCCACCUGCUAUGACUCAACACAGGAAACAGAUUCUGGAAGGUUCCUGGUGCUUCUGUUUAUUUUCUCUGUCCAAUUUUUGGAAUUUUCCUCUUAAUUUUCUCACCAACAUCUCGUGAUUGGAAUUGGAAAAAAUGAAUUGCACAGGGAAGAAUGAAGCUGCAGCAGAUGCACCAGACAGCAGGUCUGUCCCCACAAGGGGGUUGUCUCACACUACAGAAACAAGGUGAAAUUUGAGGUCAUUGCAUAUGAGGACAGGAACAGCACAGCACACUGUGAAAAUGUCCAGAUACAAGGAAUCCACAGCCUCUCUGUGUCCCCUCACUCAGGACCCUCCACCGUUGAGGCCCUCCAGGUCUCACCUUUCAAGGUGUGAGAGAGGAGUCGGAGCCCUGGUCACUGUCCCCACCUGGGAGAACCAAUCGGGACUUGGUGAGAGCCUAGGGGGUGUGGCUGA